rfam:Scleropages formosus scaffold16858, whole genome shotgun sequence.
ACUUGUGGCCAUAUGGCACUGAGCAGACCCAAUUUCCUUUGCUCUUGGAAGCUAAGCAGGGUCAGGCUGGGUUAGUGCUUCAAUAGGAGACUACCUUGGAAUUGCAGGUGCCUUAGGCU